rnacentral:rRNA from 1 species
AUUGAACGCUGGCGGCAGGCCUAACACAUGCAAGUCGAACGAGUGGCGGACGGGUGAGGUAUGUCUGGGAAACUGCCUGAUGGAGGGGGACAACUACUGGAAACGGUAGCUAAUACCGCAUACCAUCAGAGGUGCCCAGAUGGGAUUAGCUAGUUGGUGGGGUAACGGCUCACCAAGUCGACGAUCCCUAGCUGGUCUGAGAGGAUGACCAGCAACACUGGAGAGGAGACACGGUCCAGACUCCUACGGGAGGCAGCAGUGGGGAAUAUUGCACAAUGGGCGCAAGCCUGAUGCAGCCAGGCCGCGUGUAUGAAGAAGGCCAUCGGGUUGUAAAGUACUUUCAGCGGGGAGGCGUUACCCGCAGAAGAAGCACCGGCUAACUCCGUGCCAGCAGCCGCGGUAAUAC